rnacentral:rRNA from 1 species
CUAUUAAUAUUUAGNAUAAAUAUAAGGCUUCUUCCUUAUUCUUUAUAUUAGUAGUGGCACAAAAAUGGGAGCCCCGACUGUUUACUAAAAACACAGCUAUCUGCAAAGACGUAAGUCAUAGUAUAGGUAGUGAGGUUUGCUCAAUGCCCGUAGCAUAAAACUAGUAAUGGGCAACUGUUACGACUUGAAAGCCGGGUGAAUAGCGGUCUUAACUAUGAGGAUCCUAAGGUAGCAAAAUCAAUUGGCCGUUAAAUGCGGUCCGGAAUCAAUAAUUUAACGAUGGCUCUGCUGUCUCUACAACUUGCUCAGU